rnacentral:rRNA from 1 species
CAGCCGCCACGGUAAUACGGAGGGUGCAAGCGUUAAUCGGAAUUACUGGGCGUAAAGCGCACGCAGGCGGUCUGUCAAGUCAGAUGUGAAAUCCCCGGGCUUAACCUGGGAACUGCAUUUGAAACUGGCAGGCUAGAGUCUUGUAGAGGGGGGUAGAAUUCCAGGUGUAGCGGUGAAAUGCGUAGAGAUCUGGAGGAAUACCGGUGGCGAAGGCGGCCCCCUGGACAAAGACUGACGCUCAGGUGCGAAAGCGUGGGGAGCAAACAGGAUUAGAUACCCGGGUAGUCCCUGUCUCUUAUAC